GAUGAACGCUGGCGGCGUGCCUAAUACAUGCAAGUCGAGCGAACGGACGAGAAGCUUUCUUCUCUUCUGUUAGCGGCGGACGGGUGAGUAACACGUGGCUAACCUACCUAUAAGACUGGGAUAACUUCGGGAAACCGGAGCUAAUACCGGAUAAUAUUUUGAACCGCAUGGUUCAAAAGUGAAAGACUGUCUUGCUGUCACUUAUAGAUGGAUCCGCGCUGCAUUAGCUAGUUGGUAAGGUAACGGCUUACCAAGGCAACGAUGCAUAGCCGACCUGAGAGGGUGAUCGGCCACACUGGAACUGAGACACGGUCCAGACUCCUACGGGAGGCAGCAGUAGGGAAUCUUCCGCAAUGGGCGAAAGCCUGACGGAGCAACGCCGCGUGAGUGAUGAAGGUCUUCGGAUCGUAAAACUCUGUUAUUAGGGAAGAACAUAUGUGUAAGUAACUGUGCACAUCUUGACGGUACCUAAUCAGAAAGCCACGGCUAACUACGUG
rnacentral:rRNA from 1 species